rnacentral:rRNA from 1 species
GACGAACGCUGGCGGCGUGCUUAACACAUGCAAGUCGAACGGAAAGGCCCUGCUUUUGUGGGGUGCUCGAGUGGCGAACGGGUGAGUAACACGUGAGUAACCUGCCCUUGACUUUGGGAUAACUUCAGGAAACUGGGGCUAAUACCGGAUAGGAGCUCCUGCUGCAUGGUGGGGGUUGGAAAGUUUCGGCGGUUGGGGAUGGACUCGCGGCUUAUCAGCUUGUUGGUGGGGUAGUGGCUUACCAAGGCUUUGACGGGUAGCCGGCCUGAGAGGGUGACCGGUCGGGGGGGAGGGGGAGGGCGGCCUAGGUUCGGGAGAGGGGAAGAGGAGGGGAGCGCAGAACGGAGGAGGGACGGGUGAUGCAGCGAGGCCGGGGGGGGGGUGGCGGCGUGGGGUAUGUUAGGCGGUGGCGGGUGGGACGGGGGGGGGGAGCGAGUAAUGGGUAAAGAAGCACUGGCUAACGACGUGCCAGCGGCAGGUGUACGAGCCGGAGGAGCAGACGACGGAAA